rnacentral:rRNA from 1 species
UACGUAGGGGGCUAGCGUUGUCCGGAUUUAUUGGGCGUAAAGAGCGUGUAGGCGGCCAGAUAGGUCUGCUGUGAAAACUCGAGGCUCAACCUCGAGAUGUCGGCGGAAACCAUUUGGCUAGAGUCCGGAAGAGGAAAGUGGAAUUCCUGGUGUAGCGGUGAAAUGCGCAGAUAUCAGGAGGAACACCUAUUGCGAAGGCAGCUCGCUGGGACGUUACUGACGCUGAGACGCGAAAGCGUGGGGAGCAAACAGG